AGAAACACUGGCAGCAAUACAUCCAGACAUCUGCAUGUUUGCUCGUGAUGGAGAAGAAGGGGACCAAGACUCAAGGGGCUGGGUUACCUCCUCCAAGAUGCCUUCCAGGAUCACCCAAGACUCCCCAGGGAAUGAAUGAAGCAAUG